UACGUAGGGGGCAAGCGUUGUCCGGAAUCAUUGGGCGUAAAGAGCGUGUAGGCGGUCCGUUAAGUCGGCUGUGAAAGUCCAAGGCUCAACCUUGGGAUGCCGGUCGAUACUGCCGGACUAGAGUUCGGAAGAGGCGAGUGGAAUUCCCGGUGUAGCGGUGAAAUGCGCAGAUAUCAGGAGGAACACCCGUAGCGAAGGCGGCACUCUGGGCCGGAACUGACGCUGAGGAGCGAAAGCGUGGGGAGCGAACAGG
rnacentral:rRNA from 1 species